CCUGCAGAGUUAAGAGAAAUGAGAUACUUUCUAGUCACUUAAAAUAAUUAGCUCAGCUAAUCAGCUUCUGCUAAAUAUGUUCUUCACAGCCUUGAAAAAAGAACAUUUGGUGUAUUUCCAGAGAAGUCUUUGUGUUCAGUUUUAUUGAAGAGAUCACAACUUGUUAGCAUUAAUGAAGAGAAAAGGGAAUGAAAAUUGCCAAGUGAGCAUCUGCAGUAUUUUCAAAAAAGUGGGGGUGGGUGGGGGAGUUUGCACAGAAAGGGCAUGCCUUAUUUUGAUAAUUUGGGUGAAUUUAAAUUGUAUCCAUGGAGGAGGUACAUGCGCUGGCCCCACUCCUCCACACUCUUGACCUUCCCAUGAUGACUGGGAAAAUCUGAAGGUAGCUUCUAAGUGUGUUUUGAUUGAAUACACUUGGGCAGGAUUUCCUGAUUGUGGGAGGAUUGUAAUCACAUUCAGUUGAAUAAGCUUACAAUCGUUUUUCAGACCUCAACCCUCAAAUGAAGAUUUGGAAUGCAGGGAAGUUGAACCAGCACACACUGCUCCAUCAGAGACAUCUGAAGGCAGCCCUGUAUAGGGAAGUUUUUAAUGUUUGAUGUUUUGCUGUCCUUAAUUUACUGUGUUUAAUUUGUUGGAAGCCACACAGAGUAACUGAGGCAACUCAGUCAGAUGGACGGCAUAUAAAUAAAUUAUUAUUAUUAUUGACACAAUUUAAGAGAUACUCAAUGGGGCUUUUGUUCAAAGGGCUACACUACAACACACUUCUGUGCAUGUCUACUCAGAAGUUUGUCCUGAGUUCAAUGGGCUUUCCUUUGAGGUUUGUUGUAGGAUUGUAGCCUUAAUUGGAAGGGGAGGAGGUUUGGAGAAAUUAAAAGUCAAGAAUAAUAUGAGAGUGAGAAUUACGUAAGAACAUUUCACUUUGAAGUAGUGAAGCUUGUUCACAGUGUACUGCUUAUGGUGAUUUGAAGUGCUGUUCUCCAGAUGACUGCCAAUUCAUAGAUUUGCAUUAAAAGCUUGACUGCAGUGAUUAUGUAAAACGCAAUUGUUCCUUAAUAAUUUUAAAUUGGAACCAGUGACCACGGGAGUGUUACAUCUACAAGAGUACAAUGGUACUUUUCCAGUUAGGAGAGCCUCCUUUUGUGGAUUUGUGAUUUAUUUAUUUUUUGGUGGGGGUGGGGGUUGUGUUGUUCAGAAUGCCUUAAAAGAAAACAACCCAGGAGAGACUGGAAGUUCAGUUUAAGAUAUUCUUGCAGCCUCAGCCUAUACAUGUUUCCUAGAAAGAUCCGCUGAGUUCAAAGGGGCUUUCUCUCAAGGAAGCGAGCAUGGGAUUGCAGCCUUCAAUACUAUACUCCGGGAUGCUCCAUUCAUUCGUUUACCUUGCAACGCAUAUGAAGGGACCACCCUCUAGCGGUCCGACAAGGCAUUUCCCUUCCUAAAGUUGCUCGCCUCUUCUUUUUUCUUUAGGCAGAGAAUUUCAUGCAGACUGUAGCGCACUUUUGGCUUAGGAGGAGGCAGACUCGGAAGAUGAUCUAGCUCGUUCGCUUUCAGUCCUUGUAAGGAGCGCAGUCUUCGUUCCUCAGGUCGACUUCGUCUUAAGUUCGGUCAGUGCAAAAAUACGAGAAGCCCCAAGCGGAAGAAGAAACCACCACGAUUGAAAAUUACCAAUAAAUCCGAUACGAUCGUUUCUUCAAAACACGGUAGAUGCCACAUCUUCACGACCCAAGUCGCGAUAUCUUUUAAUCCUUUUAAUUAUUUGCCGAGGCCCCCCUCCCCCGCUUGCCCGCAGUUGCAUCGCCCAGCAUUUUCGAUGGAAGCGGGGGAAAUUAUUCAAAGGGAAGGUGCAGGCAGCUGGUUAGAUCUGAGCUGUAGCGCGAGGAUUUCCCUGCGCUGGGUUUUAUUAUUCGCCUCCGUGUUCGGCAUGCCUUCUUCCUGUCUGGAAAUCUCGCAGUGUUUGGCGUUUCUGUAUCUUUCUCGGCGCAUCCCUUUCGCUUCCACCCGAGCCCGGCGACGCCGAUCGCUCCUCGAGUUCCAGAUGACUUUUCCGCACGCUGAUCGCUUAUCCCCGUAUGCUGUCAACUGGUGUCUGCGACGCACCGAGCAGGCGGCGUGUACAGCCUGAGCCAUUAAAUCCCGGCACGCCAAGGGACGCGUGCGUGUGGAUGGAACGGGUUAAAGGAGGGGGAAGUGGAGUAGAUACAAGCCAGAGAUCUACAGUAAAAAAGCGUUUUGAGCCUAUGCGAAAAUCGGAGGGGGGCGGGCGGCGGCGGCGAUGGUUUGCUGACUGAGGAAGGCGCGAACGCGGAGGAUCCUGGAAACUAGAUCUCUGUCCCCACCCCCUCCUCCAAAGCGAGGUUCUUGCAAGGAUCCAGUUGGCUCAAUCGGUAUCGCUCUUUCGCCUCCUGUCGCCUUUAAGCUGCGUGAAACUCGCUCGCUUUUAUUACUCUUCUCUGAUUGCACCGACGCGUGGUCAUGAGGUUCUCGG
rnacentral:lncRNA from 1 species